AACGAACGCUGGCGGCAGGCUUAACACAUGCAAGUCGAGCGCCCCGCACGGGGAGCGGCAGACGGGUGAGUAACGCGUGGGAAUCUACCCAUCCCUACGGAAUAGCUCCGGGAAACUGGAAUUAAUACCGUAUACGCCCUACGGGGGUAAGAUUUAUCGGGGAUGGAUGAGCCCGCGUUGGAUUAGCUAGUUGGUGGGGUAAAGGCCUACCAAGGCGACUAUCCAUAGCUGGUCUGAGAGGAUGAUCAGCCACAUUGGGACUGAGACACGGCCCAAACUCCUACGGGAGGCAGCAGUGGGGAAUAUUGGACAAUGGGGGCAACCCUGAUCCAGCCAUGCCGCGUGAGUGAUGAAGGCCUUAGGGUUGUAAAGCUCUUUCACCGGGGAAGAUAAUGACGGUACCCGGAGAAGAAGCCCCGGCUAACUUCGUGCCAGCCGCCGCGGUAACAC
rnacentral:rRNA from 1 species